UUUAAAUUUAGAGUUUGAUCCUGGCUCAGGACGAACGCUGGCGGCGUGCUUAACACAUGCAAGUCGAGCGAUGAAACUUCCUUCGGGGAGUGGAUUAGCGGCGGACGGGUGAGUAACACGUGGGUAACCUGCCUCAAAGUGGGGGAUAGCCUUCCGAAAGGAAGAUUAAUACCGCAUAAUAUAAGAGAAUCGCAUGAUUUUCUUAUCAAAGAUUUAUUGCUUUGAGAUGGACCCGCGGCGCAUUAGCUAGUUGGUAAGGUAACGGCUUACCAAGGCAACGAUGCGUAGCCGACCUGAGAGGGUGAUCGGCCACAUUGGAACUGAGACACGGUCCAGACUCCUACGGGAGGCAGCAGUGGGGAAUAUUGCGCAAUGGGGGAAACCCUGACGCAGCAACGCCGCGUGGGUGAUGAAGGUCUUCGGAUUGUAAAGCCCUGUUUUCUAGGACGAUAAUGACGGUACUAGAGGAGGAAGCCACGGCUAACUACGUGCCAGCAGCCGCGGUAAUACGUAGGUGGCGAGCGUUGUCCGGAUUUACUGGGCGUAAAGGGUGCGUAGGCGGAUGUUUAAGUGGGAUGUGAAAUCCCCGGGCUUAACCUGGGGGCUGCAUUCCAAACUGGAUAUCUAGAGUGCAGGAGAGGAAAGCGGAAUUCCUAGUGUAGCGGUGAAAUGCGUAGAGAUUAGGAAGAACACCAGUGGCGAAGGCGGCUUUCUGGACUGUAACUGACGCUGAGGCACGAAAGCGUGGGUAGCAAACAGGAUUAGAUACCCUGGUAGUCCACGCCGUAAACGAUGGAUACUAGGUGUAGGGGGUAUCAACUCCCCCUGUGCCGCAGUUAACACAAUAAGUAUCCCGCCUGGGGAGUACGGUCGCAAGAUUAAAACUCAAAGGAAUUGACGGGGGCCCGCACAAGCAGCGGAGCAUGUGGUUUAAUUCGAAGCAACGCGAAGAACCUUACCUGGACUUGACAUCCCUUGCAUAGCCUAGAGAUAGGUGAAGCCCUUCGGGGCAAGGAGACAGGUGGUGCAUGGUUGUCGUCAGCUCGUGUCGUGAGAUGUUAGGUUAAGUCCUGCAACGAGCGCAACCCUUGUUAUUAGUUGCUACCAUUAAGUUGAGCACUCUAAUGAGACUGCCUGGGUAACCAGGAGGAAGGUGGGGAUGACGUCAAAUCAUCAUGCCCCUUAUGUCCAGGGCUACACACGUGCUACAAUGGUAGGUACAAUAAGACGCAAGACCGUGAGGUGGAGCAAAACUUAUAAAACCUAUCUCAGUUCGGAUUGUAGGCUGCAACUCGCCUACAUGAAGCUGGAGUUGCUAGUAAUCGCGAAUCAGAAUGUCGCGGUGAAUACGUUCCCGGGCCUUGUACACACCGCCCGUCACACCAUGAGAGCUGGUAACACCCGAAGUCCGUGAGGUAACCGUAAGGAGCCAGCGGCCGAAGGUGGGAUUAGUGAUUGGGGUGAAGUCGUAACAAGGUAGCCGUAGGAGAACCUGCGGCUGGAUCACCUCCUUUCUA
rnacentral:rRNA from 1 species